rnacentral:rRNA from 1 species
UACAGAGGUCCCAAGCGUUGUUCGGAUUCACUGGGCGUAAAGGGUGCGUAGGUGGUCGGGUAAGUCUGAUGUGAAAUCUCCGAGCUUAACUCGGAAAUGGCAUUGGAUACUAUUUGACUGGAGGGUUGGAGGGGGGACUGGAAUUCUCGGUGUAGCAGUGAAAUGCGUAGAUAUCGAGAGGAACACCAGUGGCGAAAGGCGAGUCCCCUGGACAACUCCUGACACUGAGGCACGAAA